CGCAAGCCAGCGGGGUUGAAGGCUGUGCAGAGAGUCCGGUCAGGAGAAUCAAGUAUCUGUGAUACAAGCCAGCGUCAUGCAAGUGGAACAGCUCGACACCGGCAGCGGUGAGUGGAACAGGGAACUCUCCGGCUGCUGUGGGCUCCACUUCCCAUGGUGCUCAGUCACAGAUCACUUUUUGGUUGGCUGAGCAUGAUGGGUAGCGCAUUCCUAUAGAUAUUUGCUAGGGAUGACAGUGCUCUACAGCAGCCAGCUCCUCAAUCAGACUUCCCAGGGGCCCCAUGUUAUCCCAUGGCUGCAAGGAGAGUGUGUGUGACUAGUUCUUGGAGGCUUUUUACUCCGUUGUCUAAUAUUAUGUAUUUAGUGCAGGAAUGUCCCUUUUCUAACAACAUAUGCUAUUCACCAUGGUAACAGACUUGGGGUUCUGUAAAAAAAAUUAUUCUGAUGCAAACUUCUAAAGAUGAAAAAUCAGCAUCAGGGACAUUAAUUUAAAUUACAUAGUGACGGCUCCAUUUACUAAACUUUGCCCUGGAAUUUCUUUUCCACAAUUCCCAGUGUCCAUAGAAGAUUCUGCCUCAGAAUAUUAGUAACAUUGUUCAACAUGUCUGUCUGUUGAAUGCACCUGUAUAGACAGAGCAUGUGCCAUGCAUAUUGAAUAAGAAAUGCAUUUUUUUUAAUGACUUGUGGGAGGGCAGUUUUAACACAUACCUGUUGCAUUAUCUAAUUGAUUUUCCUGCAAUGUACAUAAAAUGUGUGCCUACAGAGGGAGUUUUUUAUUUAAUUGUAGUGUGACAUUACAUAAGGUUUGACAUGUGCUCUUAUUGCAAUCAAAUGGGUGUUACUUUAUACCCUUUUAUGCUAAAGUGAAUGCAGGCCCAUUCACUUGCAAUCAAUGAAUAUGGUUCAUGUUCCCAGCCUGGGACGAUGGUAUCACUGUCCUCUUGUUUCUUAUUCUUUUUAAACAUUGAAAUACCCUCACAGGGGAAUCAUGCACACUUGUAUAUGGAUGUGUUAUGUGUUUUACUAUAUUCACUUGAAUGUGUACUUAUCCAGACAGAUAAUAUCUGGCUUAUUAUUUAACAGAUCAGUCACUUCUUAUCCAGGCAACUACCCUGGCUUAAGGUUACCACGAUUACUCACUCUAUGGCACUUAUCCAGGUGCCUAGCAUCUGGCUUAUUGUUCCACCAAAGCAGUCAGACCUUAUCCAGGCAACUAUACUGGCUUAAGGUUAUCGCUCCCUGGUCGGCACUGGCUUUCAACAGCCCUCCAUAGAGAGUAUAGGUGUUUCUACCAACCGAGUACAAAUACGCUCAUUCACACUUAUUCACACCCAAUACAUGGUUGCACAAUGUGAAACAAUUUUUUUAGAAACUGCUUAAACUUUUUCAGUGCAAACAAAAACAUAUAUAUAAUACAGUAUAUGUAUAUAGUGCGCACACAUGAAAUAUUUUCAGCAGAGAAUGAGAAGGAAAAAGUGACGGAUCGUUUCGCUUAUCAUCAAACUGACACGCAGCAGCUUUUAAACACUUAUUUUCCUCAGCAGAAAUUAGCAGCGUACUAAGUUAGUUUCACUUAUUGCUCAGUAACUACGUUGAAGCAUCAAACAGAUUUUAAUCGCACACAAACCUAUUUUUUUUACCCACAAAAGUAAUAUUGCAGAUUUCACUUCCCCUACUCAAACAAUUAGGGAUGUGCAUGGGGAAAAUGUUUGGUUCGGUUCGGCAUUCCGAAAUUCGGGACUUGGGCAAUUUGGAACUUUGGCACUUUCGUUCGGUUCGGCACUUCGAAACGUCAACACUUCGGCACUUUGGAAUUUCGGAACUUCAGAAUUUGGGGACUUUGGAACUUCUCUUGCACCCGCUUAGUAGAUAACUCCCUAAUUCCCACGAUAUUUUGGUCUUUCAGCCAAAUGUACUAAUACUAAGUAAAUAUCACUUAAUAUUAGUAAAUUCUGCCCUUACUCGCUAUACCGCGAGUAGGGGCAUGUCUAUUAAACAGUGAGCAGCCUGUAAAAAAAACAAACCUUUCCUCCCCCGUGGCCCCCGCCCCAGAGCGGUGGGUGGGGGCCCUAAAUACCAAUAAAGGGGGGGACCUAAUUAUCCACUUAAAAUAGGAGAAGUUCGUUGUCACUCAUAGUAUUGGAUGCAAGUACGCUCGGCUGGGGCGCACGCUGUGGACCUACCUCCGCCGGGGGGAAAUGGUCCAUUGAAGAACAGAGGAUGCAUAUCAAUUGCCUCGAAUUACUAGCAGCCUCAUUUACCCUAAAGAGCCUUGUGGGUGUAUCAACCAAUUACAUCAUCCUCCUGCGGAUGGACAACAUAUCAGUGGUUUGUUACAUCAACCAUCUCGGGGGUACAAAAUCAACAGUAUUGACAGACCUGGUGAAGGAAUUCUGGCAAUUCUGCCUGGAUCGCAACAUCUUGGUACAAGCAGAAUACAUCCCGGGAAUGUCCAAUGUAGUGGCCGAUUGGAACUCAAGACACCUACAGGAUACCAACGAUUGUAGACUGGAUCCUUAUGUCUUUCUCAGCUUACAGUCACUUUGGGGCCCUCAGGAUAUUGACCUAUUCGCAUCCAACUUGAACUCCCAACUGCCGAAGUUCUUCAGCUGGAGACCAGAUCCAGAAGCCCUGGCGAAGGAUGCAUUAUUACUAUCGUGGCCCAAUACGUGCCACUACGUUUUUCCACUUUUCUCUCUGAUUGCCCAGACGCUGCUACACCUCAGAUGCUUCCAGGCCUCAUUGAUCCACAUCGCACUGCUCUGGACAGCUUAACCAUGGUUUCCUACCCUCAUGGAGAUGUCCAUAGAUUAUCCGCGAUUACUCCCAGUUUACUCCGACCUCAUACUGGACCCCAACGGGAACUCGCAUCCCCUUCUACUUCAGGGACAUCUCAGACUACUGGCCUGGCUUCUCUCCGGAGAUUCUGUUUCAUCCCAAACAUUCCAAGAACAACUCUGGACCUCCUGGCGGGAGCUUGGGCUCCGGGAAUAAGGAAGUCCUGCUUCCAUGCCUGGAAGUCAUGGAAUGAUUGGUGCGUGGAACAGCACGUGGAUCCCAUAUCUGCACCUAGCAUAUAGAACGAUAAACAUAUAUAGCCAUAUCAGCGGGUCACCAAAGUUGGAACAGAUUUCCAUCAGGUAAAUAUACCUUAGUAUGUCGACUCCUUUGUGGCAAAUGCACGGUUCUCCGACUUUUUGAAAAUUGGCCUCAGAAUAAAGAGCUUUCGCUCAAACAGCUUAAAGAAAAAUUAGUUAUGUUGUUUUGUCUCAUCUCCUGUAAACAUGUCUCGGAUGUUGGUGCUCUGGAUAUUACGGCACGUUCAUUUACUCCAACAGGCGUUUCAUUUGACAUUUCAAGACGCACGAAGCCGUCCAUUACUUCGGUCUUUUAUUCAGCUUUUCCACAUAACAUCAACCUAUGCCCAGUGGCCUGCCUCAAGGAAUAUGAAGAGAGGACCGCUUCAAUAUGUGAUCCUAUAUAUCUGUUUCUAGCAUUUUGACGUCCAUAUCAACUAGUUUCUACAGUCACCUUAUCUCUUUGGGUGAAUAUCAUUGGUGGACAUCGAUACUUCUGCAUACAGUGCACACUUUGUUAGAGGCGCUAUGGCAUCUAAAGCCUUCUCCUUAGGAUGCAGACUGGAAGACCUCCUCCAUGCUGCUGAUUGGUCCUGGGAGUCUACAUUUCGGGAUUUUUAUUUUCGUCCAGUUCCUCAUCUCUCCACUACGGUGGUUGCACAGCUUUAAACUAGCAUAAUAUGAGCCUCGGUGUCCUUUAAUAAAAUUACCAGAUUUGACUAAUUUCAUGACAUAAAGUCAUGAUAUUAUUAAGGACAUGGAGGCAAGUAUUAUCCCACCCGACACAGGUAUGUUACACCCUCCCUGGGGUAUAGGUAUAUAAUUUCAUGAGAAGUAUACAGUCAUAAUAAUAAUGUGGUUAUUCACCUAAUUGAGCUAUUUCUGUAGAUGUUGAUGUGGAAGGAUUGGAUAUAGUGCUCUGUUACCAGAUGCACUGUGGAUAGUAUUUAAUGUCCAAGAAUAUAUUUUACCAUUUAUUUCUUUGUCUUUACAGCCUCUUAAUUGGUUUUCACAUUGAUCCCUCACACUCUCGAACGGAUGUGUGCAAGUUUUAUUCUAAGUUCCAUUGUUGGAUUAUUCCAGAGUUGCUGUUCUUCCCAUCUAGUUGGUCGUCUACUUCGGUCUUGUUGGAAUGUUCGUCGGCACCAGUACAAAAGAGGAGUGGCUUAAGGUCACAUGGGACAUUAUAGUGCAAGAAGCAUUCCUAUUGGUUAAUCUGUUGUAUUAUGGUUAACCCUCUAGAGUACAUGUUAUAUUUUUUAUUUAAAUAUUUAGAAUAUCCUUUCAUUGCUGCUGAGGAAGAAAGAAAGAGAUAAAGCAUAAUACUUACCUCCAUGUCCUUAAUAAAAUCAUGACUUUACAUUAUGAAAUUAGUAAAAUCUGGUAAAUUCUCUCCAAAUAGCAUAACCUCAGGGCAAGACUAUGAAGGAACAUGAGUCUUUCUGUACCAGUACAGGUAUGUAUGUAUUUUUCAUGUUAUGUUACACUAUACGUAC